UGGCAGUGUGGUUAGCUGGUUGUCCGUCACCGUAUACCAACCAACUGGCUACCCGCAAAGCCACU
rnacentral:pre_miRNA from 1 species